rnacentral:rRNA from 1 species
ACGGGUGAGUAACACGUAGGUAACCUGCCUAUAAGACCUGGGAUAACUAUCGGAAACGAUAGCUAAGACCGGAUAAUUGGUUUUCUCGCAUGAGAGAAUUAUGAAACACGGAGCAAUCUGUGGCUUAUAGAUGGGCCUGCGGCGCAUUAGCUAGUUGGUAGGGUAAUGGCCUACCAAGGCGACGAUGCGUAGCCGACCUGAGAGGGUGACCGGCCACACUGGGACUGAGACACGGCCCAGACUCCUACGGGAGGCAGCAGUAGGGAAUCUUCCGCAAUGGACGCAAGUCUGACGGAGCAACGCCGCGUGAGUGAUGAAGGUUUUCGGAUCGUAAAGCUCUGUUGCCCUAGACGAACAGCAAGGAGAGUAACUGCUCUUUGUGUGACGGUAUAGGAGAAGAAAGCCCCGGCUAACUACGUGCCAGCAGCCGCGGUAAUACGUAGGGGGCAAGCGUUGUCCGGAAUUAUUGGGCGUAAAGCGCGCGCAGGCGGUCAAUUAAGUUGGGUGUUUAAGCCCGGGGCUCAACCCCGGUUCGCAUCCAAAACUGGUUGACUUGAGUGUAGGAGAGGAAAGUGGAAUUCCACGUGU